AAAACACCCCUACGGGAGGCAGCAGUGGGGAAUAUUGGACAAUGGGCGAAAGCCUGAUCCAGCCAUGCCGCGUGAGUGAUGAAGGCCCUAGGGUUGUAAAGCUCUUUCAACGGUGAAGAUAAUGACGGUAACCGUAGAAGAAGCCCCGGCUAACUUCGUGCCAGCAGCCGCGGUAAUACGAAGGGGGGCUAGCGUUGUUCGGAAUUACUGGGCGUAAAGCGCACGUAGGCGGAUAUUUAAGUUAGGGGUGAGAUCCCAGGGCUCAACCCUGGAACUGCCUUUAAUACUGGGUAUCUCGAGUCCGAGAGAGGUGAGUGGAAUUCCGAGUGUAGAGGUGAAA
rnacentral:rRNA from 1 species